GGUUGAUCCUGCCAGUAGUCAUAUGCUUGUCUCAAAGAUUAAGCCAUGCAUGUCUAAGUAUAAACGGUUAUACAGUGAAACUGCGGAUGGCUCAUUAAAUCAGUUAUAGUUUAUUUGAUAGUACCUUCUACAUGGAUAACUGUAGAAAAGCUAGAGCUAAUACAUGCUAAAAAUCCCGACUAGGGCAACCUGGAAAGGAUGUAUUUAUUAGAUAUAGAAACCAAUACGGGCGUAAAAAACCCGGCCCAUUGGUGAGUCAUAAUAACUUUGCGGAUCGCAUGCUCUCGUAGCGG
rnacentral:rRNA from 1 species